rnacentral:rRNA from 1 species
CUAAAUUUUAAUAACCCUCGGUUGGGUAAAUAGAGGUAUCGGGUGGUCGGGCUCUCCGGUGCCGGAGCGCGGAGAGGGGGUCUGGCGCCUUUGGGAUUAGGUGGAGGUGGAGGUGGGUGUCGGCGGCGGAGGAGAGGUAGACACGAGGGCUAAGUCUAGGUACGGUUCGGAGGGAGGUACGCGUCGACGGCGGGGGAGCUAGAGGGCGCGGCGGCGGGGUUGGUAUGGGGCGAGGUGGAGGCAGAGGGUGGGAGACAGCGAGGAGGUGGCGGGGGUGUGAGAGGGGGAGACUUCGGAGAGUCUAGGCGCUACCCCCGUGUGUCCGGGCAUCGCCACGAGGGCGUAGGCGCAGUUCCAGUCGGGGGCCGAGCAGCAGUACCUCCGCCACCAGUACUCCUUCCAACAACUCCAGCCACUCUACCUGCAACAGCGGAUGAGCAACAGGUCCUGGUUCCUGCCGACGGGGCUACGAGGCCAGAAGAAGUGUUAGGCGUGAUCCUCUCUUCCCCAACCGGUGACAAAAUAAGUCGUGAGAGGAACCGGAACAAACGUAGCGGUGUCCACUGGAGCGGCCUGGUGAACAACACUUCCAUUAACUCCAUCUUGUCUUCUAUAAUGUGAGCUCAAAUCAAAUCUUCCCAUUGAGGUGAACCCUACCUUGUUUACUAUGAUGUCCGUUCCUUGUUGUGUCUAAUAUACAUACUUCAUAGAUCUGGAGGUCACACUAACACUAUACAUUAACAUUAGACAAUACCACUAUACUUAAAACAUCAACAUUUAGGCAUAAACACGUGAUAUAUUAACAAAAAGAAACGAUUUACCU